UUCUACGGCCAUACCACCCUGAAUGUGCCCAAUCUCAGCUGAUCUCAGAAGCUAAGCAGGGUUGGCCCUGGUUAGUACUUGGAUGGAAGAAAGAGGACUGGCAUGUGUGCUGA
ensembl:rRNA 5S_rRNA 5S ribosomal RNA